AUUGAACGCUGGCGGCAGGCCUAACACAUGCAAGUCGAGCGGAUGACGGGAGCUUGCUCCUUGAUUCAGCGGCGGACGGGUGAGUAAUGCCUAGGAAUCUGCCUGGUAGUGGGGGACAACGUUUCGAAAGGAACGCUAAUACCGCAUACGUCCUACGAGAGAAAGCAGGGGACCUUCGGGCCUUGCGCUAUCAGAUGAGCCUAGGUCGGAUUAGCUAGUUGGUGGGGUAAUGGCUCACCAAGGCGACGAUCCGUAACUGGUCUGAGAGGAUGAUCAGUCACACUGGAACUGAGACACGGUCCAGACUCCUGCGGGAGGCAGCGGUGGGGAAUAUUGGACAAUGGGCGAAAGCCUGAUCCAGCCAUGCCGCGUGUGUGAAGAAGGUCUUCGGAUUGUAAAGCACUUUAAGUUGGGAGGAAGGGCAGUAAGUUAAUACCUUGCUGUUUUGACGUUACCGACAGAAUAAGCACCGGCUAACUCUGUGCCAGCCGCCGCAGUAACAC
rnacentral:rRNA from 1 species